GGCUGGUCUGAGAGCAGUGGUACUUAAUUGAUCACAACCAGUUACAGAUUUCUUUGCUCCUUCUGCACUCCCACUGUUUCACUUAACUAGCCUAAA
rnacentral:Y_RNA from 1 species